rnacentral:rRNA from 1 species
UGAGGAAUUUUGGGCAAUGGGCGAAAGCCUGACCCAGCAAUGCCGCGUGAACGAUGAAGUCCUUCGGGAUGUAAAGUUCGUAAGCAGGAGAAGAACACAAUGACGGUAUCCUGUGUAAGCCCCGGCUAACUACGUGCCAGCAGCCGCGGUAAUACGUAGGGGGCAAGCGUUGUUCGGAUUUACUGGGCGUAAAGGGCACGUAGGCGGCGCGUAAAGUCGGACGUGAAAUCACUGGGCUUAACCUAGUGGCUGUGUCCGAUACUUGCGUGCUUUGAGUGCGGGAGAGGCAAUCGGAAUUCUCGGUGUAGCGGUGAAAUGCGUAGAUAUCGAGAGGAACUCCGGUGACGAAGGUGGGUUGCUGGACCGACACUGACGCUGAGGCGCGAAAGCUAGGGGAGCAAACGGGAUUAGAUACCCCGGUAGUCCUAGCCCUAAACGAUGAAUACUUGGUGUGCGGGUUUCUUAGUACCCGCGUGCCGUAGCUAACGCGAUAAGUAUUCCGCCUGGGGAGUAUGGUCGCAAGAUUG